AAGCGGAAUGCAGUGAGGCACGAAGGAACGAUUUCACCUAUUGGCGUUGUGCGGGCAAGACGUGUGUACGCCAAGAAAAGUGUCUGCCCACUGCCUCGUUACGAUGGGAGUUUGAUCGACUUUGUUUUGUGUGUUGGUCUGGUGUCAUCCUUCUCGUGGCGAUGAUGUUGUUUUAGGUCGGGAAGUAAGUGUAGAAACAAAUGAGAACAAGUGUAUUACGUUUAGACGUGUGCACCACAAGUCUGUGUGUUGUGGUGACAAGUCUUAAGUGUGUUGUGGUGCACAUACUAAGUACAGCACCAGACGCUAGUUAUUUCCCAGUGUACAGUACAACAAGGGAGAAGGUCGGGUCAUGCCGGUCACUCCUAAAACAUCAGGCAAACCGGUCUCAGGCGUCAGUCAGGAGAUGAAGCACGUUCGCCACGUUCCGCCAGAAGUAUGGCACCGGCGUCCCUACAUCUGCGCACUACCAACUUGA